rnacentral:rRNA from 1 species
UGGGGAAUAUUGGACAAUGGGCGAAAGCCUGAUCCAGCAAUGCCGCGUGAAUGAUGAAGGCCUUAGGGUUGUAAAGUUCUUUUAGUAGGGAAGAUAAUGACGGUACCUACAGAAAAAGCCCCGGCUAACUUCGUGCCAGCAGCCGCGGUAAGACGAAGGGGGCUAGCGUUGUUCGGAAUUACUGGGCGUAAAGGGCGCGUAGGCGGCCUGAUAAGUUGGAAGUGAAAGCCCGGGGCUUAACCUCGGAAUUGCUUUCAAAACUAUCAGGCUUGAGUGUAGUAGGGGAUGAUGGAAUUUCUAGUGUAGAGGUGGAAUUCUUAGAUAUUAGAAGGAACACCGGUGGCGAAAGCGAUCAUCUGGGCUACAACUGACGCUGAGGCGCGAAAGCGUGGGGAGCAAA